GACGAACGCUGGCGGCGUGCUUAACACAUGCAAGUCGAACGGAAAGGCCCUGCUUUUGUGGGGUGCUCGAGUGGCGAACGGGUGAGUAACACGUGAGUAACCUGCCCUUGACCUUGGGAUAACUUCAGGAAACUGGGGCUAAUACCGGAUAGGAGCUCCUGCUGCAUGGUGGGGGUUGGAAAGUUUCGGCGGUUGGGGAUGGACUCGCGGCUUAUCAGCUUGUUGGUGGGGUAGUGGCUUACCAAGGCUUUGACGGGUAGCCGGCCUGAGAGGGUGACCGGCCACAUUGGGACUGAGAUACGGCCCAGACUCCUACGGGAGGCAGCAGUGGGGAAUAUUGCACAAUGGGCGGAAGCCUGAAGCAGCAACGCCGCGUGCGGGAUGACGGCCUUCGGGUUGUAAACCGCUUUCGCCUGUGACGAAGCGUGAGUGACGGUAAUGGGUAAAGAAGCACCGGCUAACUACGUG
rnacentral:rRNA from 1 species